GGGAAUUCUAAGUGUCUAGAUAUUUAUCCUUUUGCUAAUCAAUGAUUAGAAUCUUCUUUGGACUUUAGAUGUUAUUGGAACCAUAUUCUCAUUGUACUUUCUGUCCAAUCAGAGCCAAGCAUAGUAUACCACAAGACUGUAUCUUCAGAAUUCCCUUGGAAGGAGUAUGUGGAUUUUAAAGUCUUAUUACAGAUGCCACGGUGCACAGAUAAAACUAUCCUUGCGUUUGGACGUCACCGUUCGCGAUCUUGGAGGUAUUCGUUCCAGCUCUCGCCCCCGCUCCAGCCGGAGCCUUCAGCUAAAGGAACCGUGACAGCCAACGCUUACGGCUUCGAGAAUUUCCCGUAGUGACAGUUGCGUGCAGUGCUUGUGUUCACCUUCAAACCAUUGCAGUGUUUCACCAGAGGAGGGUGUGUGAAUGAUUCCUGACACGUUUUUAAAGUGCUUAACUGACUUGUUAAGACGCUGUUGCCAAAAUGUUCAUGUGCCCAAGUGUGAACGUGCACGUGCAAGUGAACAGGGCAGCAGUGAACCAG
rnacentral:lncRNA from 1 species